UCAUUAGCAUGUCGUCGAAGUCUGUUCACAUGUUGUAGUUGAAGUAUGCUAGGAUUGUUAGUAUGACAAACUGGGCUUGUUUGUUAUGACCAAUUGUUUAAGUUAGCUUAUUCUCUAAGUUAACUUGUGCAAUGGGUCUGUGUGUAAAAGCCCAUUAGUUUAGUAUGUUAGUUUUCUUAUAAAUAGCAUACUGGUCUCUCAUCAUUGCAUAAUGAAAAUCCUAAUUAGGGUGAGA
rnacentral:lncRNA from 1 species